rnacentral:lncRNA from 1 species
GACGGUGUAUGAGAGGCCGCAGUCGCCAAGCUUCGCUUUCUUCAUAAAAGUAUCGAGACCGGUAACGUUGAAUUCACCAUUCCCGUCGAUUAGCUGAGUCGCACAACGGCACAGCCACACAAGCCUCUUUGGAAGAUUUCCUUUGAGAGAAGACUUGAAGACUUGGCUUAUGCCUGGCCGCGACAGCUAGUUGGUGAUUUUCUAUUGGCACUUUCUUGGGUUUUUUUCUUGUUUACUCAUGGCACAACUAUCUUCUUUUCCCAUAACUAAGAUUCUAAUACUGAUUAUGUUAUGUGUAUACAGUAUAUUGCCCCUCUGCUCUGCUCGACUGCUCUGAAUUCCGAUUUAUUGGGUCCUGGAGGCUGGAGGUAAAAUUAUAUUCCCUUUAUAUGUGAUCAGAUUUAUCAUUUAUGGGUUUUUGUUUCCUUUUUGUUUUGGGGUUAAUAUAUAUGAUUAAUGAUAUAAUGAUACUCUGGUAAAGUUUCUGUCUUUGGGUUUAGAGAAAUAAUAUUUUUGAUUGAUAGAUUGAUUCGUCUUGUUUAAACAACUCUACGUGUUUUUACAGUCACGAUAGAAAGAGCAUUUUCAGCUAUAAAAUAUGUUAAAAUUGCUCUUCGCAAUAAAAUGAAAGAGGAGUUUUUAGCAGAUUCUAUAAUGAUUUACAUUGAACGAGAACUUCUUGAAGAUAUCGAUUCAGAUUCCAUAAUAGACGAAUUCUAUUCUACAAAGCAUAGAAGGAUGCAACUUAAAUAGUGUGUUUUAUUUUCUUUUUUUCUUGUAUGUUAUGUACCUUUGAACCUUACUACUAUGUAUGAUUUUGAAUUUGUGAUUGAUCUUGGUGAGACAAUUUUUUGGUAGCCCAGUAAAAAAUUAAUUUCUAACUCCACCCUUGUUUAUGUUACCUUUGUUAUGUGAUAGUAGCAUUAUAUACAAUGCGGCAGGCGAAACAUGCAAGUUACAACGCUGAUGAUAGAAUGAUGUGUCUACUUUCUCAUGGAUGUAAAAUAAUAAUGUAACUACUAUAAUUUAUAAUACUAUUUUAUUUUUAUUGUUAGUAUUAUGUAAAUUUAAAAUUAAAAGAAAAGAAAAAGGAAAUUAUUCUCUC